AUUGAACGCUGGCGGUAUGCCUUACACAUGCAAGUCGAACGGUAACGGGUCCUUCGGGAUGCCGACGAGUGGCGAACGGGUGAGUAAUAUAUCGGAACGUGCCCAGUAGUGGGGGAUAACUGCUCGAAAGAGCAGCUAAUACCGCAUACGACCUGAGGGUGAAAGGGGGGGAUCGCAAGACCUCUCGCUAUUGGAGCGGCCGAUAUCAGAUUAGCUAGUUGGUGGGGUAAAGGCCUACCAAGGCAACGAUCUGUAGUUGGUCUGAGAGGACAACCAGCCACACUGGGACUGAGACACGGCCCAGACUCCUACGGGAGGCAGCAGUGGGGAAUUUUGGACAAUGAGCGCAAGCCUGAUCCAGCAAUGCCGCGUGCAGGAAGAAGGCCUUCGGGUUGUAAACUGCUUUUGUCAGGGAAGAAAUCUUCUGGGCUAAUACCCCGGGAGGAUGACGGUACCUGAAGAAUAAGCACCGGCUAACUACGUGCCAGCAGCCGCGGUAAUAC
rnacentral:rRNA from 1 species